AUUGAACGCUGGCGGCAGGCCUAACACAUGCAAGUCGAACGCGUGGCGGACGGGUGAGUACUGUCUGGGAAACUGCCUGAUGGAGGGGGCUAACUACUGGAAACGGUAGCUAAUACCGCAUACCAUCAGAUGUGCCCAGAUGGGAUUAGCUUGUUGGUGGGGUAACGGCUCACCAAGGCGACGAGCCCUAGCUGGUCUGAGAGGAUGACCAGCCAAACUGGAAGUGAGACACGGUCCAGACGCCUACGUGAGGCAGCAGUGGGGAAGAUUGCGCAAUGGGCGAAAGCCUGAUGCAGCCAUGCCGCGUGUAGGAAGAAGGCCUUCGGGUUGUAAAGUACUUUCAGCGGGGAGGCGUUACCCGCAGAAGAAGCACCGGCUAACUCCGUGCCAGCAGCCGCGGUAAUAC
rnacentral:rRNA from 1 species